ACUGUUCUGGGAAAUGCUUAAGAACAACUACCUUCAAGGAGCUCCCAGCCUGGACUGUAAGCCUUGAGAAGACAGGUGGAGAACUGAGGCCCAACCUGGGAGAAGACUUUGACAAGGUCAUGCAGCAGAGCUGGAAGAGUCCAGGCUUUCUUCACCACGUGGCAGCUUAUGCCACGGAAGCAUGGCUUUCCUGAGAGGACCCUGCAAGCCAGACAAGAAGAUGCUUCCCUGCCCGUCCUGAUCCCCAGCCUUGGCGCCCAGCAGCCUCCUCUCUGCCCAAAGCAUCCUCAGAGACCACUUAGUCAAACUUUUCGACUGGCUGCUGAGAACUAAGAGCUAAGAGUUAGCAGACAGACCAGAAUGAAGACCCACAUGUCCACAUCCCAGACCUGACAUCCCCCCACUAAUCUCCCUCACUGUUGCUGCUGUCUGCAGCCUCCUCAGCCUUCUGCAUCGUUGUGUCCACAAGGAAGCAAAGGUUAAGCAAUCCAGAGAGUGACCCCAUGUCCUCCCAGGAGCAAGUCUGCUGCUGCAGCCUUCAAGCAUGUGUUUGCCCCCUAAUAACGCUGGCAG